AGAGUUUGAUCAUGGCUCAGAUUGAACGCUGGCGGCAGGCCUAACACAUGCAAGUCGAGCGGUAGCACAGAGAGCUUGCUCUCGGGUGACGAGCGGCGGACGGGUGAGUAAUGUCUGGGAAACUGCCUGAUGGAGGGGGAUAACUACUGGAAACGGUAGCUAAUACCGCAUAAUGUCGCAAGACCAAAGUGGGGGACCUUCGGGCCUCAUGCCAUCAGAUGUGCCCAGAUGGGAUUAGCUAGUAGGUGGGGUAACGGCUCACCUAGGCGACGAUCCCUAGCUGGUCUGAGAGGAUGACCAGCCACACUGGAACUGAGACACGGUCCAGACUCCUACGGGAGGCAGCAGUGGGGAAUAUUGCACAAUGGGCGCAAGCCUGAUGCAGCCAUGCCGCGUGUGUGAAGAAGGCCUUCGGGUUGUAAAGCACUUUCAGCGGGGAGGAAGGCGAUAAGGUUAAUAACCUUGUCGAUUGACGUUACCCGCAGAAGAAGCACCGGCUAACUCCGUGCCAGCAGCCGCGGUAAUACGGAGGGUGCAAGCGUUAAUCGGAAUUACUGGGCGUAAAGCGCACGCAGGCGGUCUGUCAAGUCGGAUGUGAAAUCCCCGGGCUCAACCUGGGAACUGCAUUCGAAACUGGCAGGCUAGAGUCUUGUAGAGGGGGGUAGAAUUCCAGGUGUAGCGGUGAAAUGCGUAGAGAUCUGGAGGAAUACCGGUGGCGAAGGCGGCCCCCUGGACAAAGACUGACGCUCAGGUGCGAAAGCGUGGGGAGCAAACAGGAUUAGAUACCCUGGUAGUCCACGCCGUAAACGAUGUCGAUUUGGAGGUUGUGCCCUUGAGGCGUGGCUUCCGGAGCUAACGCGUUAAAUCGACCGCCUGGGGAGUACGGCCGCAAGGUUAAAACUCAAAUGAAUUGACGGGGGCCCGCACAAGCGGUGGAGCAUGUGGUUUAAUUCGAUGCAACGCGAAGAACCUUACCUGGUCUUGACAUCCACAGAACUUUCCAGAGAUGGAUUGGUGCCUUCGGGAACUGUGAGACAGGUGCUGCAUGGCUGUCGUCAGCUCGUGUUGUGAAAUGUUGGGUUAAGUCCCGCAACGAGCGCAACCCUUAUCCUUUGUUGCCAGCGGUUCGGCCGGGAACUCAAAGGAGACUGCCAGUGAUAAACUGGAGGAAGGUGGGGAUGACGUCAAGUCAUCAUGGCCCUUACGACCAGGGCUACACACGUGCUACAAUGGCAUAUACAAAGAGAAGCGACCUCGCGAGAGCAAGCGGACCUCAUAAAGUAUGUCGUAGUCCGGAUUGGAGUCUGCAACUCGACUCCAUGAAGUCGGAAUCGCUAGUAAUCGUAGAUCAGAAUGCUACGGUGAAUACGUUCCCGGGCCUUGUACACACCGCCCGUCACACCAUGGGAGUGGGUUGCAAAAGAAGUAGGUAGCUUAACCUUCGGGAGGGCGCUUACCACUUUGUGAUUCAUGACUGGGGUGAAGUCGUAACAAGGUAACCGUAGGGGAACCUGCGGUUG
rnacentral:rRNA from 4 species